rnacentral:rRNA from 1 species
GGCUCAGAACGAACGCUGGCGGCAUGCCUAACACAUGCAAGUCGAACGAAGGCUUCGGCCUUAGUGGCGCACGGGUGCGUAACGCGUGGGAAUCUGCCCUUAGGUUCGGAAUAACAGCUGGAAACGGCUGCUAAUACCGGAUGAUAUCGCGAGAUCAAAGAUUUAUCGCCUGAGGAUGAGCCCGCGUUGGAUUAGGUAGUUGGUGGGGUAAAGGCCUACCAAGCCGACGAUCCAUAGCUGGUCUGAGAGGAUGAUCAGCCACACUGGGACUGAGACACGGCCCAGACUCCUACGGGAGGCAGCAGUGGGGAAUAUUGGACAAUGGGCGAAAGCCUGAUCCAGCAAUGCCGCGUGAGUGAUGAAGGCCCUAGGGUUGUAAAGCUCUUUUACCCGGGAAGAUAAUGACUGUACCGGGAGAAUAAGCCCCGGCUAACUCCGUGCCAGCAGCCGCGGUAAUACGGAGGGGGCUAGCGUUGUUCGGAAUUACUGGGCGUAAAGCGCACGUAGGCGGCUUUGUAAGUCAGAGGUGAAAGCCUGGAGCUCAACUCCAGAACUGCCUUUGAGACUGCAUCGCUUGAAUCCAGGAGAGGUCAGUGGAAUUCCGAGUGUAGAGGUGAAAUUCGUAGAUAUUCGGAAGAACACCAGUGGCGAAGGCGGCUGACUGGACUGGUAUUGACGCUGAGG